GCCCCCCUUCCCCCUGCCCGGGUCCCCAGGACGCCCGGACCCUCGGCCAGAUGUGUAUCAAGUCCUUACCACGUGCCAGACAGGUGCCAGGGGCUGGGGAUCCAGCAGCGGCGAGACAGACUGUGCCUGCAUAGCGUUCACACGUGGAAGGGGACGCCGGUGCAUGUAUGCAUGAGUAGACUAUAUAGUGCAAGCCACUCAGCCACCCCAAAGAAUCAAAGGGUCAGGGGGACACCGAGUGGGGGGCACAGCUUUUGAGAAGGUGUCCUGGGGAGCCUCAUUGAUCAGGUGACAUUUGAGACCAGACCAAAUCUGGCCCGCUGUCUCUGAGCUGAGGAUGGUUCUUACAGAAGAGCAUUUGCAAUCAAUCAAUUCUGUGAUGGAGAAAUUUUGAUGGUAUCCUUCUAAAAGAAUUUCAUUCUUCUCCUUUGUGAACCUGUAUUACCAAAAAAUAAAAACAAAAAACAGUA